CUAACCUCUCCCUAUUGAGAAUCGUGGUUCCUUUUCUGUUUUCUCCCAUUGCACAGCUCCGUAACUUCCCUCCCUACGACGAACAUGGUGCCGUACCUCUCCUCUGAAGCCAUUACCCCUGAAUUGUCAGUUCAAUCAAUACAGCCCUCGACACAUGCUCUCUACCCUGCUGGAGGUUGUUCUGCUAGGAUUUGAAGGGAGUCUCGUCAUCUCCUCUGUCCUCAUAUUAAUGCAGCCAUUUUGUUCUUGAUCCUGCAUGAUUUUCUUCAUAUCAGAGAUCCAUCAAGACGAUGCCGCUAGGAUCUGAAGGGAAUCCUCGUCAUCUCGCCUUAGAUCAGUGCAGAAUUCUGCUGCAGUCGACGGUGCCAAUCAUAAUAUUUGCCUAAGUCAAAGGGAUAAGAAAGUAAUCACAAAUAUUGUGAUCUUGGCAAGAUCAACAAUCAUAAUCUUGGAUGUUUGGAAUGGUGUGUUCUUUAAACAUAAUUUUUUUGGAGAAACUCUGCAAGAAUCUGUGUUCCAUCUGGUGGAUCAAUGAAAUGGUCAUAACCAGGAUCCAUAAAGCUAGAUCAACACACAGACCUGCUGCUGCUACCAAUCUGCAUCCACGUUUGUCGGGCACGAGAAAGGAGGGCUGCUGGCUGGCAUUCCAGAGGGAUCCUGUUAUAUUUUAUAAUUUACUCCAUAGGAGCUUGUAAUAUAAACAAAUUUUGUGUCAUCAAUUAUGUGGAUGGUAGUCAUUGUAAUGCAACAAAUUAUUUAUACCAUAUCGCUGUGUAUUCUUA